rnacentral:rRNA from 1 species
UAAGAGUUUGAUCAUGGCUCAGGACGAACGUUAGCGGCGCGCCUAACACAUGCAAGUCGCACGAGAAAGGGCUUCGGCCCCGGUAAAGUGGCGCACGGGUGAGUAACACGUGGGUAAUCUGCCCUCGAGCUGGGGAUAACGGUCCGAAAGGACCGCUAAUACCGAAUAAGACCACGACCUCGAAAGAGGAUGCGGUCAAAGCUGGCCUCUAUUCAUAAGCUAGCACUUGAGGAUGAGCCCGCGGCGCAUCAGCUAGUUGGUGAGGUAAUGGCUCACCAAGGCUAAGACGCGUAGCUGGUCUGAGAGGAUGAUCAGCCACACUGGGACUGAGACACGGCCCAGACUCCUACGGGAGGCAGCAGUGGGGAAUAUUGCACAAUGGGCGCAAGCCUGGUGCAGCAACGCCGCGUGCGGGAAGAAGGCUCUCGGGUCGUAAACCCCUUUUGCCGGGGAAGAUAAUGACGGUACCCGGCGAAUAAGCCACGGCUAACUACGUGCCAGCCGCCGCGGUAAUUC